rnacentral:tRNA from 1 species
GGGAGUGUGGCGGAAUUGGCAGACGCGCCGGAUUCAAGUCCCGGUGUCCUGACGGGCGUGAGGGUUCGAGUCCCUCCACUCCUA